rnacentral:misc_RNA from 1 species
UAUCGUGCUCGCACCUCCGGUGGUCAUACUUUCGUGAACGUUCGCGCACGGAGCCUCGGAGUUCGCACGCCAUUCUGUGUCCGGAGUUUUACACCCGACGUCGCCUUUACACCAUGACAACGAGCUCUGUAACGACCACCUCGGUGACGGAGAGGAAAAAGCACCUCGAGGACAACGUUGACCAGAAUCGCCAGCAGCUGCCGGACAACAACAGUGACCCCGAGAGCGAAGCCGUCUCCGAGGUUCCUUACAAGACGGAAAUCGUCUGGCGCAACGUGUUCCUCUUCAUUGGGCUCCACAUCGGGGCCGCCUUGGGCCUCUACUGCGCUAUCUUCACGGCCAAGUGGCAGACAAACCUUCUGGCCUUCAUCGGUCUGGGCAUCUCUGGUGUCGGCUCUUCAGUGGCUGCCCACCGACUUUGGUGCCACCGUACGUUCAAGGCGAAGUUGCCCCUCAGGAUAAUACUGAUGAUGGCCAACUGUUUCGCGCUACAGAACGACGUUUACGAGUGGACGCGGGACCACCGGGUACACCACAAGUUCUCGGACACCGACGCCGACCCGCACAACAUUAACCGUGGCUUUUUCUUCGCGCACAUGGGUUGGCUCAUGUGCAAGAAGCAUCCAGAGGUGUUCCGCAAGGGCGCCACUGUCGACUGUUCCGACGUGCUGGAGGACCCAGUCAUUCGCUUCCAGAGGAGGUUCUACGUACCUCUGGUGACGCUUUUCUGCUUCGUGUUGCCGACGCUCGUGCCGAUGUGGGUGGCGGGCGAGACGUUCUGGAACGCGCACCUGGUGAACGGCCUGCUGCGCUACACCGUCAGCCUGCACAUGACGUGGCUGGUGAACAGCGCGGCACACACCUGGGGCUACCGGCCGUACGAUAAGAGCAUCGCGCCCACCGAGAACCCGGCCAUGUCCAUUGGAAUGUUCGGCGAGGGUUUCCACAACUUUCACCACGCUUUCCCGCAGGACUACAAGAGCAGUGAGUUCGGGCCACUGUUCAACCCUGCCACUAUCUUCAUCGACCUGAUGGCGCUGAUCGGCCAGGCGUACGACCUCAAGACCACGCCCAAGCACGUUAUUGAGAAGCGCAUUGAAAGGACUGGCGACAAGAGGCAGCACUACUUGAAGGCAUUCGGGUCCUCUUGAGACAAAGGGGAAAACUUCGAGAAGGCUGGGAGCGGAAGCGGCCAUUAUUAUACCCGAACCAUGGCGGCUUACAAUGUUCUUGCUUGUUUUCUUCGAAUCUUGUCCCACGCUUUAUUCUUUUCCAUUCAUCUGGCUUCUAAUCUCAACGGCUUUAAAGGCUUCCUCGCUGGCCUCCUCUCCUCGCACACGCCCUUCAUCUGUUUUACAAAGGUGGAGACAGCUACUGCGGUCUUCUUUUUUUCACGGCCACGUCUUUCGUCUACUCACUUGCUUUCACUGUCAGUAAACACCUACCACAUCCCAAGCGAAACGGGCAGUAACGGCCACUGGAGAGCAAUUCGCGAGCGGAAUAGCAAAACGUAUAUACAAGUCCAUUAGUUGUACAUAUGAGUUCAGCAAUGUCUAAAUGUAGCGUUCUAUAUUGAAUUUCACCUGGUACAACUAUAACUAGCGCAAAUGUGACAAAUGUGAGAUGGUAGCGACGACAGUUGUAGCGGUAUACUAGGUGAAUGACUGAGGCACGCGUACUGAUGAGCACGCGCUGAAUAUAAUCCUAUAUAUAUAUUUCGCGGCCGCAAGGGUCCGAAUACUUGAUGUUAUACGGUGAGGCCGAUAUAAAAUCGUGAGAUAGAACUAAGAAGUUGUUUUUUUUUUAAGAGGCUUGUCAGCUAUGAAAACAUGCAUGGUUCCGGUGACACGCUACAAGACGCUGCGUAAGAAGCGCAACAAAGCUUUCAGUGCCUUCCGUGCUGAGGACGGUCUCGGAUAGUGCCCAGGGGCCUUCCCUCCGAGAAAAGGCGAUUAUCAAGUCCGCCUAAGGCAUCUGAAAGCCCUUUCCUGGGCUCACUAAAACCGGGACACCCACAGAGAAGAUGGGCAAACGUUUCCUCACAGCUAAAAUUAUCGCAUGUAGGGUUGUUGACAAUUCCGAUCCGAAAAGAAUAGGCAUUCGAGAAAGCCAUGCCAAGUCACAGGUGGCACAGAAGCGUCUUCUCAGCUCGAGAUAUUCCUGACGGAAGACAGAGCUGGAGAUUCAGAUUCAAGCUGUGGAGCCAACAUAGAGAGUCGUAUUCUCUUUUCCAUUUUUUUUUUCUCUUUUGUAGUGUCUCCAUUCUAUUCUCUUUUAUUCCUCUUACCUACUUUCCCCAGCACAGGGUAGCCAGCCGGUCUAAGAACUGGCUAACCUACCUGCCUUUCCCCAUCUGCUUUAGACUAUAGUUUAUUAGGUGGCCGCGUUGAACGUCCCAACGCUUACUGGUGCCAUCAGGCUUUGCUAUGUGAAGCGAGCUGGAUCUACUGUACCUGUAUUUGAAUUCUUUUUUUUUUCUUAACCUUAACCUUUGAAAUGUGUAACCGUAGCCAACACCCAGUUUGCAUCUGAAGUUCUGCUUCCCGUUUUGCACUCGCAGAUCUUGUCAUUUAGUGUAGUAGUUAUAUUUACUAGAGAUAUCUUUGCGGCUGGUCUCUUUUUUUAACGACAACUUUGUUUCCUACUAUAGAAAAGAAUUUUUUUUCCUUACGUACACUCUAAGAAAAAAAAAAAAAGGAACACUGUUACUCUUUUGGGGGAGUCUUUACUUGCCACGUAUGUAACACGUCAACUGUAUCUGGAGUUCGUUAUACUGUCUACGGAGAUUCGUGGGAGACGCGACUCUUCAAAAGAGAGUUAACUUGUAUCUUUAAAUUGAAUUAUAUACUCUAUGUCACAAGUCUGGACUCACCAAAAAGAGUACCAUGUACUCGUUUUUUUUUUUUUUUAGAGUGUAGUCUCACCAUUUACAUACAGGUAGAACAAGUACAAUGUGAUAUUGAUGCCAUACUCGUUACUGGCAUUUUUAUACUGUCGACCGCUCAGGUUUGAGCAUGAUGCCACAUACUCUGCAGUUGUGUGAUGUUUUAUAUUGUGCAAUACUAGGUGUCUGUGUCCGUGUGCAUGUGGGGUGUAUAAUUACGAUCAUCGCAAAUAUUCAUUCUUGCCCGAUGCAUUAUCGCUUAUCCGAGGAAAACGUUGAAGAACUCGCGCGAGACUUAAAGUCUCUCACGUAGAACAGCUAUACCUCGAACGCAUAGCGUUUAUAGGUAUAUAAGUUUGCAACGUGUCUUCUUCGUCAGAGCAACGCAACGAGAUUGAAAAAUUGCACUAAAAACCCAACGAUGGCCUUAGUCUUAUAUGGAUACAAUUAUAUUCACGUAAAUGCUUUCUAUAUU